UACGGAGGAUGCAAGCGUUAUCCGGAAUUAUUGGGCGUAAAGCGUCCGCAGGUGGCUGUUCGAGUCUGCUGUCAAAGCGCAGAGCUUAACUCUGUACAGGCGGUGGAAACUGAAGAGCUAGAGUAUGGUAGGGGUAGAGGGAAUUCCCGGUGUAGCGGUGAAAUGCGUAGAUAUCGGGAAGAACACCAGUGGCGAAAGCGCUCUACUGGGCCAUAACUGACACUGAGGGACGAAAGCUAGGGGAGCGAAAGGG
rnacentral:rRNA from 1 species